rnacentral:lncRNA from 1 species
AUGUUGCCAAACAUGCACUGUACUGUCCGUCUGACGCGAUGUCAUCCAACCAGAAAUGUUGUGUCCAAACGACACGACGUUAUCCAACCGGCACUGUCGAGUCCACCUGACCCGACAUUACCAACCCGGCACUGUACUGUCCGUCUGACGCGAUGUCAUCCACCCGCGACUGCGGAUUUCACGGCUAAACAGGUGUUGGAUGAGAUGUCCUCACACGACAGGGGACACUACUCUGAUUCAGAAGAAGACGUGUCUGAAGAAUCUGACGUGGUGGAGGAACGCGAGGACGAGGGUUGUCGCGCAGGAGAGGAGGCUGAGGCUGAGGCUGAGGAAGAAGAAGAAGAAGAAGAAGAAGAAGAAGAAGAAGAAGAAGAAGAAACUGAAGAAGAAACUGAAGAAGAAGAAGAAGUAGAAACAUACAUGUCCAAGAACAACACUAUCAAAUGGUCCUCAGUGGCAUUUUACAAAGAUCGCAGGGUAAUAGGGCAACACGAUGAUGAUGCCGAUGUCGAUGAUGAUGAUGAUGAUGAUGAUGAUGACAAUGUCAGAGAUAUGAGGAUAAGAAAGAGAAGGAGGAGAAGAAGGGAAACAACAGCUACAGCAGAAGCAGCAAACCAACCGGGACCCACCGCGUACGCGGUUGCCAAUGCCCAAGACAUUGUGUCAACAUUUCUCAUGUUUCUCACACCGGCGAUAGAAAAAAUUGUGCUAGACAUGACAAAUCUGGAGGGUUUCCGAAAGUACGGAGAAAACUGGAAAGACAUGAGUCGUACCGACUUGCGCGCCUACAUAGGGCUGCUCAUCUUAGCCGGUGUCUACAGGUCCCGAGGCGAGGCCGCAGCCAGUCUAUGGGACGCGGAGAGCGGUAGGGCAAUUUUCCGCGCCACCAUGCCUCUCAAAGUGUUUCACACUUACUCGAGAAUGCUACGCUUUGACGAUCGCGAGUCGAGACCCGAGAGACGCGCCACUGACAAACUGGCAGCCAUAAGAGAGGUGUGGGACAAAUGGGCAGAGCGGCUUCCUUACCUCUACAACCCAGGGCCUGACAUAACAGUGGAUGAGCAACUGGUUCCCUUCAGAGGUGAGUGUGUGUGUGUGUGUGUGUGUGUGUGUGUGUGUGUGUGUGUGUGUGUGUGUGUGAGUGAGUGA